AUCUCAAAUCAAGUAAAACUACCGGCUGAACUUAAGCAUAUCAAAAGGCGGGAAGAAA
rnacentral:rRNA from 1 species